UGUAGUCAUAUGCUUGUCUCAAAGAUUAAGCCAUGCAUGUGAAAGUUCAUCCUUUUGAAUGAGAAACUGCGAAUGGCUCAUUAAAUCAGUUAUGAUCUACGCGAGCGAACAACCACAUGGAUAACCGUGGUAAUUCUAGAGCUAAUACAUGCGUAAAGGGUCCUUCGGGAUUCGCACUUAUUAGAUAAAGCCAACGUAAGGGUAAAACCUUUCGCCUUGGUGAAUCAUAAUAAUUUGGUGAUCGUGUAUGCGACACUCGCUCGAUUUUCUGCCCUAUCAUUGCUAGAUUGUACGAUAGAGGCGUACAAUGGCAGCAACGGGUAACGGGGAAUG
rnacentral:rRNA from 1 species